GACAGAGGGGGCAAGCGUUGCUCGGAAUCACUGGGCGUAAAGGGCGCGUAGGCGGGAUGGCAAGUCAGUCGUGAAAUCUCUCGGCUCAACCGAGAAACGUCGGCUGAUACUGCCGUUCUUGAGGGAUGCAGAGGAGACUGGAAUUCCCGGUGUAGCGGUGAAAUGUGUAGAGAUCGGGAGGAACACCGGUGGCGAAGGCGGCGAUCUGGGUCGAUACUGACGCUGAGGUGCGAAAGCGUGGGGAGCAAACAGG
rnacentral:rRNA from 1 species